rnacentral:lncRNA from 1 species
UCCUCAUCUCUUAGCAUUGAAUUUUUGUGAAGAUUCAGGCACUAUUAAUGGCCAGUGGAACUUCCAAAAGUUGGAAAUUGCAGUAGCAAUUUUUUCACAGGGGUGAAAAAAAAUCCCUAAGCUUUAAGAAAUUUGGAUAUCAAAAGCUAUAAUGCCCAUUUAGGGAAAAUUAGGGUGAAUAUUGCUUAAUUAGUCAUUCAAAUGAUGGAAACUAUCUACUCCAAUGCUUUUAUGAAGCUCUGCAUGAUGGUAACAGGGAAUAGAUUUCUGUGACUUGGGCAGGGAGCGCGGUAUUCCCAUUUUUUUUCUUAGGUAAGUGGUGGUGGCCGAGAUUAAAUGCCAUAAGCUUCCUUCUGCCUGCCCUGUAUUUUAAUUUUUCACAUGAGGAAGUCACUGCACGGAGAGGUUAACAGAACUACCAGGAUCAAUGAGGCAGUAGGGGAACCCAGCCUGGAGGGCAGGUCCCCAGGCCCCUCCCCAUUAGCUCUUCCUGGCAAAUUAACUGCCACCCGCACCACUGGGCUUUAUCAUUCAUUACUUUCCUCAGACUCAGAAUAAUUUCCAUUCCAGUAGUCUAGAGAAUGACUGCGUGCUUCUGGAAUUUAUGGGCAUGAUCACCGGGGUCGGGAAGGGAUCCAGGCACCAGGGUGGUUUGUACUUUCCUUUAGUAGUUCUACAGAAUUGUGUCACAAAGAGCCUCCUUCCUAACCUCGCAGCCACUUUGUUAUUACAGAGAUGCAGCACUUUCUGCUACAGACUUGGGAAGCUGUGGGAUUUAAUGAGCAUGUUUUGCAGUGAGAUUUUCCUGCCCUCUCUCAGAUGUGGCUGCUCUUGUCAUUGUUCUUCUGCACUUAAUAUUUUCCUUCUUUCCUCAGGGGAUACUCAGAAUGAAAGAAGAGGGUGACAUACUCUCUGGGGUGGAAGUAGAAGGGUAUCCCAAGAGCACCCAGCAGGGCACACGGAGAUUCCUAUGAAACUGACCUGUGGCUGCCUGUGGAGAGUGCAUUUCCGUUUCUUUUGCCCUUGAUCCCAGGCUCCUGGAAUCUGUCUUUAUUGCUGCUCUGCUAGCAGGCCAGCUCUGGGCUACCUGCCUCAGUCCCUAAGCCAGUCUGGACGAAGGGUUGGCUUAUAUGAAUAGCCUUUCUUUCUACUUCUUCUACGGCUGUGGGGUUUGAACUUGAGAUAUGUUAUCAAACUGGGAAUGGAGUCAAUGGUUUACAAGUCAUAGCACUGUAUACUACCAAUAACAUAAACAUGAAUGCUAUAUCUCCCUUUCUAUUUUUAUUGAGGCUUAAUUUGCACAUCAUACAAAUGAUUAUUUUUAAGUAUACAAUUUAGUAGUUUUUAGUACAUUUA